rnacentral:rRNA from 1 species
UACAGGGGGGGCAAGCGUUGUUCGGAAUUACUGGGCGUAAAGGGCUCGUAGGUGGCCUACUAAGUCAGACGUGAAAUCCCUCAGCUUAACUGGGGAACUGCGUCUGAUACUGGAUGGCUUGAAUGUGGGAGAGGAUAGUGGAAUUCCAGGUGUAGUGGUGAAAUACGUAGAUAUCUGGAGGAACACCGGUGGCGAAGGCGGCUAUCUGGCCCAACAUUGACACUGAAGCACGAAAGCGUGGGGAUCAAACAGG